rnacentral:rRNA from 1 species
AUUGAACGCUGGCGGCAGGCCUAACACAUGCAAGUCGAGCGGAUGAAGGGAGCUUGCUCCUGGAUUCAGCGGCGGACGGGUGAGUAAUGCCUAGGAAUCUGCCUGGUAGUGGGGGAUAACGUCCGGAAACGGGCGCUAAUACCGCAUACGUCCUGAGGGAGAAAGUGGGGGAUCUUCGGACCUCACGCUAUCAGAUGAGCCUAGGUCGGAUUAGCUAGUUGGUGGGGUAAAGGCCUACCAAGGCGACGAUCCGUAACUGGUCUGAGAGGAUGAUCAGUCGCACUGGAACUGAGACACGGUCCAGACUCCUACGGGAGGCAGCAGUGGGGAAUAUUGGACAAUGGGCGAAAGCCUGAUCCAGCCAUGCCGCGUGUGUGAAGAAGGUCUUCGGAUUGUAAAGCACUUUAAGUUGGGAGGAAGGGCAGUAAGUUAAUACCUUGCUGUUUUGACGUUACCAGCAGAAUAAGCACCGGCUAACUUCGUG